rnacentral:rRNA from 1 species
UACGUAGGGACCGAGCGUUGUCCGGAAUCAUUGGGCGUAAAGAGCGUGUAGGCGGCUAUUUAAGUCCUGCGUGAAAUCCUGCGGCUCAACCGCAGACGGUCGUGGGAAACUGGAUGGCUAGAGUGCGGGAGAGGAGAGUGGAAUUCCCGGUGUAGCGGUGAAAUGCAUUGAGAUCGGAAAGAACACCAACGGCGAAAGCACUCUGCUGGGCCGACACUGACACUGAGAGACGAAAGCUAGGGGAGCAAAUGGG